GCAUUCUGUUACAAUUAUUUCUUGUUGUUCAUACAUUUGGCUGUUAGUAUUUUUGUUUGAAUUAUUUUACAUUUUUCAUGCAGAACCUUUUAUACAUUGGAGCUUGCUAUGCAUAUGAUAUGGUUUUGCUAAUUUUUGAAGGUUGCUAACUUCUAUGUCAUUUGGUCUUGGGAGGCAAAUUGUAUCAUUGCAACCAUACCAAAUCUUCUCAUUUUUAGAUCAAAGCGAUCACUGUUUAAGAUAAAUCUGAAUUUCUGCUAGAAAAUAUAAAGAUAGAUACGAG
rnacentral:lncRNA from 1 species